UUUUAUUUUCUUCUUAUUCAUUCUUUUUAUUUCUUUAUCUCUCCAUUUUCUUCUCCUUCCUUCCUCUCGCUCUUUGUCCUUCAUCUUGAUUUGUUUUGAGAGAAGUUUUAAGUGUUGAGUUAAGAUGAAUUGGUGAUGAAGUAGAAUCGAUGGGGAAUCAGUUGUUGCUUCUAUGGAUUACAAAGAUAAAGAAGAAGAAUAUGAUUCUGUGAAUCUGGAAGAGAGUUAAGAGUUAGGGUUGUUGAUUUUGUGUUGAACCGAGAGUGAUAUCGAGUUGUAAUAAUUGGAGAUUAAGAGGGUUGUCGAUGAAUUGAGGAGAUGAAGCUAUUCUGAUGAAGAAAUAAAAGAAAAGUUAGUCUUUAUUAACAACGAUCUAUUCAAAAGAUGAACCGGUGGAUUGAGAAUCUUGAGGUAGGCGAGGCUUGUCUUCAAAACAGGUGGGAACUCUUGUAACUCUCUUGUAAUCAUUAAUUUACUUUGAAUGGAGAGUAUGAUGUGUCUUAUUAUUUUUGAGCAUGUUUGAAUGUAAUUAUAUGUUCGUAUGCAAUACAUGUUUGAGUGUCA